rnacentral:misc_RNA from 1 species
AGCAGAUCGAGGCGAGGCCGUGAGGGAGGAGAAGAGCCAUGAUGGGGGCGCAUCAGAUCAUCGCUCAACGGCAGCAGCAUGGGCGUCCUCCUCCUGCUGGUGCUCCUGCUGGAUGCGGGUGUUGUCCUCCUAGCCGUGCUCCUAGCAGUAGAGGCUCCAGUAGCAGAGGAGAAGAGGCAGGAUGCGGGCGUCAUCCUCUUGGCCGUGCUCCUACUGGGCAGCGCGCCGUGCUCCUGCUGGUGCUCGAUGACUGGAGCCUGCUGCCUGGUGGUGCUCGGCGGAUGAGCAGGGGAUCCGAUCGGGUAGGGGAUGAGGAUGAGAUGACCGAUCGGAUCAGAUGGGCAGGGGAUGAGGAUGAGUGGAUGACCGACCGGAUGAGCUGGUUUGCUCGGCGGCUGCCGGCUGGGGGUUGGGGAUUAGGUCAUUAGGGUUUGUCGAUUUGGGCGUUUGCCACUUUGGGUCUUUGGCGGAAUGAUG